rnacentral:rRNA from 1 species
ACUGCUCAGUAACACGUGGAUAACCUGCCCUUGGGUCCGGCAUAACCCCGGGAAACUGGGGAUAAUUCCGGAUAACGCACAUAUGCUGGAAUGCUUUAUGCGUAAAAUGGAUUCGUCUGCCCAAGGAUGGGUCUGCGGCCUAUCAGGUAGUAGUGGGUGUAAUGUACCUACUAGCCAACAACGGGUACGGGUUGUGAGAGCAAGAGCCCGGAGAUGGAUUCUGAGACAUGAAUCCAGGCCCUACGGGGCGCAGCAGGCGCGAAAACUUUACAAUGCGGGAAACCGUGAUAAGGGGACACCGAGUGCCAGCAUCAUAUGCUGGCUGUCCAGGUGUGUAAAAUACACCUGUCAGCAAGGGCCGGGCAAGACCGGUGCCAGCCGCCGCGGUAACACCGGCGGCCCGAGUGGUGAUCGUGAUUAUUGGGUCUAAAGGGUCCGUAGCCGGUUUGGUCAGUCCUCCGGGAAAUCUGACGGCUCAACCGUUAGGCUUUCGGGGGAUACUGCCAGGCUUGGAACCGGGAGAGGUAAGAGGUACUACAGGGGUAGGAGUGAAAUCUUGUAAUCCCUGUGAGACCACCUGUGGCGAAGGCGUCUUACCAGAACGGGUUCGACGGUGAGGGACGAAAGCUGGGGGCACGAACCGGAUUAGAUACCCGGGUAGUCCCAGCCGUAAACGAUGCUCGCUAGGUGUCAGGCAUGGCGCGACCGUGUCUGGUGCCGCAGGGAAGCCGUGAAGCGAGCCACCUGGGAAGUACGGCCGCAAGGCUGAAACUUAAAGGAAUUGGCGGGGGAGCA